GGGUUGUGAGGUUAAGCGAAUAAGCGUACACGGUGGAUGCCUAGGCAGUCAGAGGCGAUGAAGGACGUGCUAAUCUGCGAAAAGCGUCGGUGAGCUGAUAUGAAGCGUUAUUAGCCGACGAUGUCCGAAUGGGGAAACCCGGUGCACUUUGGUGCAUCAUCAUUUAGUGAAUACAUAGCUAAAUGAAGCGAACCGAGGGAACUGAAACAUCUCAGUACCUCGAGGAAAAGAAAUCAACCGAGAUUCCCCUAGUAGCGGCGAGCGAACGGGGAGCAGCCCAGAACCAACAUCAACGCUAGCAUUAAGAGAACAGUCUGGAAAGUCUGGCAGUAAAGGGUGAUAGCCCCGUAUCUGAAAAUGCUAGUGUUGUGAGUUCGACGAGUAGGGCGGGACACGUGUUAUCCUGUCUGAAUAUGGGGGGACCAUCCUCCAAGGCUAAAUACUCCUGACUGACCGAUAGUGAACCAGUACCGUGAGGGAAAGGCGAAAAGAACCCCGGCGAGGGGAGUGAAAUAGAACCUGAAACCGUGUACGUACAAGCAGUGGGAGCCUUGAUUUAUCAGGGUGACUGCGUACCUUUUGUAUAAUGGGUCAGCGACUUAUAUUCUGUAGCAAGGUUAACCGAAUAGGGGAGCCGUAGGGAAACCGAGUCUUAACUGGGCGAAUGAGUUGCAGGGUAUAGACCCGAAACCCGGUGAUCUAGCCAUGGGCAGGUUGAAGGUUGGGUAACACUAACUGGAGGACCGAACCGACUAAUGUUGAAAAAUUAGCGGAUGACUUGUGGCUGGGGGUGAAAGGCCAAUCAAACCGGGAGAUAGCUGGUUCUCCCCGAAAGCUAUUUAGGUAGCGCCUCGUGAAUUCAUCUUCGGGGGUAGAGCACUGUUUCGACUAGGGGGUCAUCCCGACUUACCAACUCGAUGCAAACUACGAAUACCGAAGAAUGUUAUCACGGGAGACACACGGCGGGUGCUAACGUUCGUCGUGAAGAGGGAAACAACCCAGACCGCCAGCUAAGGUCCCAAAGUCAUAGUUAAGUGGGAAACGAAGUGGAAAGGCUCAGACAGCCAGGAUGUUGGCUUAGAAGCAGCCAUCAUUUAAAGAAAGCGUAAUAGCUCACUGGUCGAGUCGGUCUGCGCGGAAGAUGUAACGGGGCUAAACUAUGCACCGAAGCUGCGGCAGCGAUAUUUAAAUAUUGUUGGGUAGGGGAGCGUUCUGUAAGCCUGCGAAGGUGUGCUGUGAGGCAUGCUGGAGGUAUCAGAAGUGCGAAUGCUGACAUAAGUAACGAUAAUGCGGGUGAAAAACCCGCACGCCGGAAGACCAAGGGUUCCUGUCCAACGUUAAUCGGGGCAGGGUGAGUCGACCCCUAAGGCGAGGCUGAAAAGCGUAGUCGAUGGGCAACGGGUUAAUAUUCCCGUACUGGUGAUAAUUGCGAUGGGGGGACGGAGAAGGCUAAGUUAGCUGGGCGACGGUUGUCCCGGUUUAAGGAUGUAGGUGGGUGAAUUAGGCAAAUCCGGUUCACUAUACACUGAGGUCUGAUGACGAGUCACUACGGUGAUGAAGUAACUGAUGCCAUGCUUCCAGGAAAAGCCUCUAAGCUCUAGAUUAUCAUUAAUCGUACCCCAAACCGACACAGGUGGUCAGGUAGAGAAUACUAAGGCGCUUGAGAGAACUCGGGUGAAGGAACUAGGCAAAAUGGUGCCGUAACUUCGGGAGAAGGCACGCUGGCGUUAGGUGAAGUGAUUUACUCACGGAGCUGAAGCCAGUCGCAGAUACCAGCUGGCUGCAACUGUUUAUUAAAAACACAGCACUGUGCAAACACGAAAGUGGACGUAUACGGUGUGACGCCUGCCCGGUGCUGGAAGGUUAAUUGAUGGGGUUAGCGUAAGCGAAGCUCUUGAUCGAAGCCCCAGUAAACGGCGGCCGUAACUAUAACGGUCCUAAGGUAGCGAAAUUCCUUGUCGGGUAAGUUCCGACCUGCACGAAUGGCGUAAUGAUGGCCAGGCUGUCUCCACCCGAGACUCAGUGAAAUUGAACUCGCUGUGAAGAUGCAGUGUACCCGCGGCAAGACGGAAAGACCCCGUGAACCUUUACUAUAGCUUGACACUGAACAUUGAGCCUUGAUGUGUAGGAUAGGUGGGAGGCUUUGAAGUGUGGACGCCAGUCUGCAUGGAGCCAACCUUGAAAUACCACCCUUUAAUGUUUGAUGUUCUAACGUAGACCCAUUAUCUGGGUUGCGGACAGUGUCUGGUGGGUAGUUUGACUGGGGCGGUCUCCUCCCAAAGAGUAACGGAGGAGCACGAAGGUUAGCUAAUCACGGUCGGACAUCGUGAGGUUAGUGCAAUGGCAUAAGCUAGCUUGACUGCGAGAGUGACGGCUCGAGCAGGUACGAAAGUAGGUCAUAGUGAUCCGGUGGUUCUGAAUGGAAGGGCCAUCGCUCAACGGAUAAAAGGUACUCCGGGGAUAACAGGCUGAUACCGCCCAAGAGUUCAUAUCGACGGCGGUGUUUGGCACCUCGAUGUCGGCUCAUCACAUCCUGGGGCUGAAGUAGGUCCCAAGGGUACGGCUGUUCGCCGUUUAAAGUGGUACGCGAGCUGGGUUUAGAACGUCGUGAGACAGUUCGGUCCCUAUCUGCCGUGGGCGUUGGAAGAUUGAAAGGGGCUGCUCCUAGUACGAGAGGACCGGAGUGGACGCACCACUGGUGUUCGGGUUGUCAUGCCAAUGGCAUUGCCCGGUAGCUAAGUGCGGAAGAGAUAACCGCUGAAAGCAUCUAAGCGGGAAACUUGCCUUGAGAUGAGUCUUCCCUGACUCCUUGAGAGUCCUGAAGGAACGUUUAAGACUAAGACGUUGAUAGGCUGGGUGUGUAAGCGGUGCGAGCCGUUGAGCUAACCAGUACUAAUGAACCGAGAGGCUUAACCUUACAACACCGAAGGUGUUUUAG
rnacentral:rRNA from 1 species